rnacentral:rRNA from 1 species
UGGGGAAUCUUGCGCAAUGGCCGAAAGGCUGACGCAGCGACGCCGCGUGUGGGAGGACGCCCUUCGGGGUGUAAACCACUGUUGCCCGGGACGAACAUCUUCUUUCGAGAGGACUGACGGUACCGGGUGAGGAAGCACCGGCUAACUCCGUGCCAGCAGCCGCGGUAAUACGGAGGGUGCGAGCGUUGUCCGGAAUCACUGGGCGUAAAGGGCGCGUAGGUGGCGCGGAAAGUCAACGGUGAAAGCUUGGGGCUCAACCCCGAGUCGGCCGUCGAUACUUCCGCGCUCGAGCACUGUAGAGGCAGAUGGAAUUCCGGGUGUAGCGGUGGAAUGCGUAGAGAUCCGGAAGAACACCGGUGGCGAAGGCGGUCUGCUGGGCAGUUGCUGACACUGAGGCGCGACAGCGUGGGGAGCAAACAG